GCAGAACCUCACAUCACCUGUCAUAUAUUCUCAGAAAUAAGGUCUGAGAGUUUCUACAGGGAGACCGUAAAUCUCCCAACUAUGGCGGGAAACACAGAUUGG
rnacentral:ncRNA from 1 species